rnacentral:rRNA from 1 species
UACGGGGGGGGCAAGCGUUGUUCGGAAUUACUGGGCGUAAAGGGCUCGUAGGCGGCCAACUAAGUCAGACGUGAAAUCCCUCGGCUUAACCGGGGAACUGCGUCUGAUACUGGAUGGCUUGAGUUUGGGAGAGGGAUGCGGAAUUCCAGGUGUAGCGGUGAAAUGCGUAGAUAUCUGGAGGAACACCGGUGGCGAAGGCAGCAUCCUGGACCAACACUGACGCUGAGUGAGCGAAAGCCAGGGAGCAAAGCGGG